UGGUGCCCAAUGUGUGGGGCCCUGAUACAGGGUGCUUAUCAUGAGGAAGAAGAUCAGGUGGCCAGCAUUGUAUACAGAAAUUUCUUCAAACGUCUAGGGAGCCUGCUGUGGACAAAGCAAAGGUGAGCGAUAGAGUCUGAACAUGGGACAAACAUUAAGCCCACAUGAGGUCUAGGUGAAACAAUUAAAAGAGGCAUUAAAGGUACAAGAAGUAAAGGUAAAAUCCAAUGACUUGUUUAAAUUUUUUGAUUUUGUUUGUGAUCUUUGCCCUG
rfam:Rattus norvegicus chromosome 1, whole genome shotgun sequence.